AAUGUUAUGUCUGAUAUAAAAGUAAUAAAUUGUAAAUUUAUUUAUGAAAGAGUUUUCUUUUUAACAUUA
rnacentral:tRNA from 1 species